rnacentral:rRNA from 1 species
UGGGGAAUUUUGGGCAAUGGGCGAAAGCCUGAUCCAGCCAUGCCGCGUGAGUGAAGCAGGCCUUCGGGUUGUAAAGCUCUUUUAGUCGGAAAGAAAGAGUUGCAAUGAAUAAUUGUGAUUUAUGACGGUACCGACAGAAAAAGCACCGGCUAACUACGUGCCAGCAGCCGCGGUAAUACGGAGGGUGCGAGCGCUAAUCGGAAUUACUGGGCGUAAAGGGUGCGCAGGCGGUCUUGCAAGUCAGAUGUGAAAGCCCCGGGCUUAACCUGGGAAUUGCGUUUGAAACUACAAGGCUAGAGUGCAGCAGAGGGGAGUGGAAUUCCAUGUUUAGCAGUGAAAUGCGUAGAGAUGUGGAAGAACACCGAUGGCGAAGGCAGCUCCCGGGGUUGACACUGACGCUCAUGCACGAAAGCGUGGGGAGCAAACA